UGCUUACAUAAAGAAACAGGUUUCCGGUACAGACAAAUCUGUACGGGUCGGUACCGAUCAGCGCAGGUAUAAUAUUUCAAUAUAAUCCUAUUCACUCACUUAUAAAGAAACAGGUUGUAACUUGUCGGUGCCGACUACCUGGACCGUGCCAUACGGGUUUAAGCAUUUACUGGUGUAGGGUGUGUUUAAUAAUAUUAAAAAUGGAUUUGGAUAACGAAGUUUUGAUAGCCUUAGUGUUUGAUAAACAAUGUUUAUGGGACAAAACUCAUAAGUUCCACAGCAACAGAAAUGUUACAGAUAAGUGUUGGAAAGAGAUCAGUUUGGAAAUGAAACAGGAUGAAAGUAAAAUAAGAAAAAGAUGGAGAUAUCUAAGGGAUCAAUUUGCGGUAUAGUUAGGAAAAAUUUCACCUUCUCGCUCUGGAGAUGAGGCAACUACAGUAUAUCCCAAAUGGCCAUAUUUUAAACCCUUACUUUUUCUCAAACCUAUGGUGAAGGCGCGGCUAACCACUGGAAGUUUGACGCGACAAAGAUCUCAUUCAAAUAGUGCUGUGAGCCUUGAUAGUGAAACAGAAUACACCCAAACUACAAAUGACCAUGAUUGUUCUCUUUCACCUGGACCAAGCAACAUGGAAGAUAAUGAUGCGAGUGACCAACCAACAGUGUCUCCUGCGAUGCCUGUUUCAAAAAUCGCUUUGAAAAGGCCGAAGAGAACAAUCAAUGACAAAUUAUUGGACAUUGAGCAUCAAAAACUUAAAUUUUUACAAGAUAAGGAAAAAUCCCGACAGAAUAGAACAACAGAUGCAGACAACGAACAUAUUUUAUUUUUUAAAAGCCUCAUACCACACAUUGAAAAAAUUCCACAGCACAUGCUACUUUCUUUUAGAAACCGCAUUCAAAGCGUCGUCGACGAGUUCGCGUACCAAUCUUUGCAAUAUGGUAACCCUAGUUCGAUGUCAAACUACUCUCAUUUAAGUAAUGUUUCCCGUAAUAGUACUCCAGAGACCUGCAACGAAAUAACUCUUCCACAAACUUCGAGUGACAAUAUUGCUGUUAUAAGCAACCAAUUAGCCACAGAAGAAUAUAUUUUUCAUUGUGAUUAAAACUACUUACAAAUAAAACAUACUAGCCUACUGAAUGAAUAAAGGUCAA